rnacentral:rRNA from 1 species
UACAGAGGUCUCAAGCGUUGUUCGGAUUCAUUGGGCGUAAAGGGCGCGUAGGCUGCGGGGCAAGUCGGGUGUGAAAUCUCGGAGCUUAACUCCGAAACUGCAUUCGAUACUGCCGUGCUUGAGGACUGGAGAGGAGACUGGAAUUUACGGUGUAGCGGUGAAAUGCGUAGAUAUCGUAAGGAAGACCAGUGGCGCACGCGGGUCUCUGGACAGUUCCUGACGCUGAGGCACGAAGGCCGGGGGAGCAAACGGG